AGUGAACGCUGGCGGUAGGCCUAACACAUGCAAGUCGAACGGCGGCACAGUAAGAGCUUGCUCUUACGGGUGGCGAGUGGCGGACGGGUGAGGAAUACAUCGGAAUCUACUUUUUCGUGGGGGAUAACGUAGGGAAACUUACGCUAAUACCGCAUACGACCUACGGGUGAAAGCAGGGGAUCUUCGGACCUUGCGCGAUUGAAUGAGCCGAUGUCGGAUUAGCUAGUUGGCGGGGUAAAGGCCCACCAAGGCGACGAUCCGUAGCUGGUCUGAGAGGAUGAUCAGCCACACUGGAACUGAGACACGGUCCAGACUCCUACGGGAGGCAGCAGUGGGGAAUAUUUGACAAUGGGCGCAAGCCUGAUCCAGCCAUACCGCGUGGGUGAAGAAGGCCUUCGGGUUGUAAAGCCCUUUUGUUGGGAAAGAAAAGCAGCAGGUUAAUACCCCGCUGUUCUGACGGUACCCAAAGAAUAAGCACCGGCUAACUUCGUG
rnacentral:rRNA from 1 species